rnacentral:misc_RNA from 1 species
ACAAACUUGGUCAUUUAGAGGAAGUAAAAGUCGUAACAAGGUUUCCGUAGGUGAACCUGCGGAAGGAUCAUUAUUGAAUUUAAACAAAGGGUAAUUUAGGUUGUAGCUGGCUCCAUUAGUUUGGAGCAUGUGCACACCUUUUGCUCCUUUUUAAUCCACACACACCUGUGAACCUGUGAGGCAGAGACAUGGAUGGGAAAACUUUUAUUUAUUUUCAAUAAAUGAUUGGGACCCCCUACCCACCUCUGUCUACUCAACUCUAAUAUAAACCCAAUUUAUUUUAAAAUGAAUGUAAUGGAUGUAACGCAUCUAAUACUAAGUUUCAACAACGGAUCUCUUGGCUCUCGCAUCGAUGAAGAACGCAGC